GACGAACGCUGGCGGCGUGCUUAACACAUGCAAGUCGAACGGAAAGGCCCUGCUUUUGUGGGGUGCUCGAGUGGCGAACGGGUGAGUAACACGUGAGUAACCUGCCCUUGACUUUGGGAUAACUUCAGGAAACUGGGGCUAAUACCGGAUAGGAGCUCCUGCUGCAUGGUGGGGGUUGGAAAGUUUCGGCGGUUGGGGAUGGACUCGCGGCUUAUCAGCUUGUUGGUGGGGUAGUGGCUUACCAAGGCUUUGCCGGGUAGCCGGCCUGAGAGGGUGACCGGCCACAUUGGGACUGAGAUACGGCACAGACUCCUACGGGAGGCAGCAGUGGGGAAUAUUGCACAAUGGGCGGAAGCCUGAUGCAGCAACGCCGCGUGCGGGAUGACGGCCUUCGGGUUGUAAACCGCUUUCGCCUGUGACGAAGCGUGAGUGACGGUAAUGGGUAAAGAAGCACCGGCUAACUACGUG
rnacentral:rRNA from 1 species